rnacentral:rRNA from 1 species
UACAGGGGGUGCAAACGUUGCUCGGAUUCAUUGGGCGUAAAGGGUGCGUAGGCGGCGCGGUAAGUCGGGUGUGAAAUCUCGGGGCUUAACUCCGAAACUGCAUUCGAUACUGCCGUGCUUGAGGACUGGAGAGGAGACUGGAAUUUACGGUGUAGCGGUGAAAUGCGUAGAUAUCGUAGGGAAGACCAGUGGCGAAGGCGGGUCUCUGGACAGUUCCUGACGCUGAGGCACGAAGGCCAGGGGAGCAAACGGG